AAUAAGGGCUAUUGUGAAAUUUAAAAA
rnacentral:piRNA from 1 species